CAGCCGCCGCGGUAAUACGAAGGGUGCAAGCGUUACUCGGAAUUACUGGGCGUAAAGCGUGCGUAGGUGGUGGUUUAAGUCCGUUGUGAAAGCCCUGGGCUCAGCCUGGGAAUUGCAGUGGAUACUGGGUCACUAGAGUGUGGUAGAGGAUAGUGGAAUUUCCGGUGUAGCAGUGAAAUGCGUAGAGAUCGGAAGGAACAUCUGUGGCGAAGGCGACUAUCUGGGCCAACACUGACACUGAGGCACGAAAGCGUGGGGAGCAAACAGGAUUAGAUACCCCGGUAGUCCCUGUCUCUUAUAC
rnacentral:rRNA from 1 species